rfam:Canis lupus familiaris chromosome 8, whole genome shotgun sequence.
AGAGAUGGUAGACCAUAAAGCGUACGUGUUGUUUACGACGUAUGUGACAUGGUCCACUAAUUCU